rnacentral:rRNA from 1 species
AACGAACGCUGGCGGCAGGCCUAACACAUGCAAGUCGAACGAGAAGCCACCUUCGGGUGGUGGAAAGUGGCAGACGGGUGAGUAACGCGUGGGAACGUGCCUUUCGGUUCGGAAUAAUCCAGGGAAACUUGGGCUAAUACCGGAUACGCCCUUAGGGGGAAAGAUUCAUUGCCGAAAGAUCGGCCCGCGUCGGAUUAGCUAGUUGGUAGGGUAAUGGCCUACCAAGGCGACGAUCCGUAGCUGGUCUGAGAGGAUGACCAGCCACACUGGGACUGAGACACGGCCCAGACUCCUACGGGAGGCAGCAGUGGGGAAUAUUGGACAAUGGGCGAAAGCCUGAUCCAGCCAUGCCGCGUGGGUGAAGAAGGCCUUAGGGUUGUAAACCCCUUUCAGCGGGGAAGAUAAUGACGGUACCCGCAGAAGAAGUCCCGGCUAACUCCGUGCCAGCCGCCGCCGUAAGAC